ensembl:lncRNA
AUGGGUACAAUAUUCUGCCUUCCCCACCAACCCACAGUGGAUCAAAUUAAGAGUGUGACAGAAGUAGAAAACAGAGGAGGGAUUCACCCUGAAGCUGGAUUUGAUAAUGCAAACACAUCUGGAGUUUCAGUUCAGUAUGUGGACAACCAAGAAGUGAUUUCUGAAGGCACAUUUGAGGACGAUAAUAUAUUAAUCGAGCCUACUGUAAAGAUUUCAGUCCAGUGCAUGGAGAACCAGAGAGGCCUUCAUGGGCAAAUUUUGUAUGAUGAUGUGUCAUACCCCAUCCAUCUCCAACCUCAAGCUGAGCCGGAUAUUCAGGAUGAAGGCAUUGUAGUUGACAUGGAAGAAGAUGAAGGACAGGAAUUGUACUAAUGUGUAUUUGAUGUGAAGAAAAGUUUAGCACCUUUAGGUUAUAAAGUUAACAUGGAAUGAGAUUAAUUUUGGGGAUUGACUUGUGCGGAAACUAAAUAUUUCACACGCAGUUUUUUUUAAGGAAAUGUGUUGAAAUUGAAAUGUAGGAAAGUGAUGAAGGACAAGUAUUACUCCCCACUAAAUUAUAAUUAUAAAUCAAGUUUAUGGAAUUAGAUUUUCUUUUAUAAAUAAAAUGUUUAUGAACAGUAUUAGUUUAAAUGUU